AACGCGAAGAACCUUACCAGCUUUUGACAUGCCUCGGACGGUUGCCAGAAAUGGCUUCCUCUCUUCGGAGCCGGGGACACAGGUGCUGCAUGGCUGUCGUCAGCUCGUGUCGUGAGAUGUUGGGUUAAGUCCCGCAACGAGCGCAACCCUCGCCCUUAGUUGCCAUCAUUCAGUUGGGCACUCUAGGGGGACUGCCGGUGAUAAGCCGCGAGGAAGGUGGGGAUGACGUCAAGUCCUCAUGGCCCUUACAGGCUGGGCUACACACGUGCUACAAUGGCGGUGACAAUGGGACGCGAAGGGGCGACCCUUGGCAAAUCUCAAAAAGCCGUCUCAGUUCGGAUUGCACUCUGCAACUCGAGUGCAUGAAGGUGGAAUCGCUAGUAAUCGCAGAUCAGCACGCUGCGGUGAAUACGUUCCCGGGCCUUGUACACACCGCUACAGU
rnacentral:rRNA from 1 species